rnacentral:sRNA from 1 species
UCUUUUUCUUCUUCUUCUUCUCUUUUUUUAU